AACGAACGCUGGCGGCAUGCCUAACACAUGCAAGUCGAACGAGACCUUCGGGUCUAGUGGCGCACGGGUGCGUAACGCGUGGGAACCUGCCCUUAGGUUCGGAAUAACUCCCCGAAAGGGGUGCUAAUACCGGAUAAUGUCUUCGGACCAAAGAUUUAUCGCCUUUGGAUGGGCCCGCGUUGGAUUAGCUAGUUGGUAGGGUAAAAGCCUACCAAGGCGACGAUCCAUAGCUGGUCUGAGAGGAUGAUCAGCCACACUGGGACUGAGACACGGCCCAGACUCUAACGGAGGGAAGCAUGGGGAAUAAUGGACAAUGGGCGAAAGCCUGAUCCAGCAAUGCCGCGUGAGUGAUGAAGGCCUUAGGGUUGUAAAGCUCUUUUACCCGGGAUGAUAAUGACAGUACCGGGAGAAUAAGCUCCGGCUAACUCCGUG
rnacentral:rRNA from 1 species